rnacentral:lncRNA from 1 species
AUCAGAUGAGCAACAGACCUUGUUCUGUCUGAUUCCUCCAACGUUCUAAGGGAGGAAGUUCUCUCCAGUGUAGACCAAAAAUCGACUUGGUGGUCUGUGGUCAGCUGAAUUGUUUUUCCAGAAUGUAACAGGAGUUUCAUGCCCCAUCAUAACCAGAUGUAGCUGAAAGCUUUGGUGAGUUGACCAGAAAAGGUUUCCUCGAGCUCUUCAUCAUGUGGGCAUCUAUAUAUAGACUCUACUGCGAUGUCGCCCUCGAUCUUAAUCCGCCUUGCACAGUCUAGUGAGUGGCUUCAGGUUUCCUGAGAGAUUUUAUUCAGCGGAUCAUGGUGUUUCUCCACACGGAUGCAGUGUUCCCUGCCAUGAUACAAUGGAACAAGAAGGACGCUGAUAAAACUCCAGAUGGUUUGCUCAUCCACGUCUACUCCACACAUUUCUCCUAGAUGGCGGCACCUCCUUUCCAUCCUGACUUGGAGGGGCUUCAUUUCAGACGGUCCGUGAUUCACAUUUUCUUACAGUACUUUGAGCUCUUGAAAGCCCUGGUAGAGAUCAUUAUCAUUUCCUGCUUUAGCCUGGCUCCUGAGCUGUGGUGGCUGCAUUUCUUUGGUCCUGUUUUUUUAUGAGCCUCACCCUUUGAGUACCAAUAAAGGCUGCAGUAAAGGGACUGAUCCAGACCCAGAUAACUGCAUGGCCAGAACAAAGUGCCCCAGCCUAAGCACCAUGACAAUAAAUGGAGCUACAUUGAAGCAAAAAGUUCCAGAGAAAUGGGAAGAGAGGUGCCACAAGAGAGAGCAGGACUCUUAAUCUUUUGCAACUAAAAGUUAACUGUUACUUCCACUACUUCAAUUUGGAGCCUAUUUGAAGGAGCCGUUGACAUAUGCUUUUAUACAAAUUUGUUGAUCUGUAUUUUCCUAUAUUUACCUUAUGCACUCCUCAGUCAUAACACUGCUAGAAUGUCCUUUGUGUAAUUUAAAAAGCGACAAUGGAAUUUUUUGAAGUAUGCAGGGGGAGAAGUGAAAAGAAGAUGUCCACAGAGCAGGAUGCUCCUUAUCCUGGCCCCCAUCUGUCAUCAGGGGCACUGGGAACAGUCUCUGUUUUUCCUAGGAGCAGCGAUCACUUAAACUAAUUUACAAAGUUGAGACUUUUCCAAGCCAGGAUUGGGCUGAUGCAGGGGACCUCCUCCGAGCAAGAGGGUGCAUGCCAUGGAUGACAAAGGCAGGAGCUGCUCAGUCCAAACCCGGGUCCCCCAACCACCGUCUAGUGGACGUGUAACAUCGGAAGUUGGAGACACCAGAUAAAAGACACUAAAAAGUUAUAAAGUAGAUUUAGUGUUGAGUACGUUCCAGCAUUCUCCAUUAAUUGUGUGGUUUCAAAUAGCAAAGGGCUACCUCCUCUUGAAGACAACUCAUGAGAGGAUCAUGGGGAGGAGAUGGGUCCUGGAGGACCAGGAGCAGGGAGACACAGCCAUUUCUGGGAAGAGCCCGUGGAAAGGGCAUCCAGCCAGACUCCAGAUCCCUCGUUUUUCCUUUGGCCAACUUCAUUGCAUCAACUUGUAGUUGAUGUACUACUAGCAAAUUGUAACAGUGUGUAGACUACUUAAUAGGCGAUCAAGUGGACCAAGAGGAAAAGUCGGACCUUCCUGGGGCACACAUGCAGGUAACAUGGAAACUGUAGUCACUUCCUGGUGCCACCUCUUAGCCAGGCGGUGUCCUUAGUGAUAUUGCUUAUGCCUUAUUCUCGCCCUGUGUGGUUACGAUCCUCCACUGCACAGGUAAUGAACAUGAGGCACUGAAGGUAACCUGCCCAGUGUCCCACAAGGCUGUGGUGUGAAUGUUUACAUCACCCAAAGCAUUGAAAUCCUAACUCCCAAGGUGGUGGUAUUUGGAGAUGGGGCAUUUGGGAGCAGAUAAGGUCAUGAGGCUGAAGCUCUCAUAGAUGGAAUUAGUGCCUUAUAAAAGAGGCCCCAAGAGAGACUGCUUGUCUGUCCCUUCCACUGCGUGAGAACACAGCAAUAAGGUACCAUCCACGAACCAGAAAAUGGGUCUUCAACAGACCCCAAAUCUGCCUUGACUGUGGACUUGCCAGCCUCUAGAACUGUGAGAAAUACAGUUUUGUUGCUAAUGAGCCACCCAGCCUAUGGUACUUUGCUAUAACAGCCCAAACAGACUGAGACACAGUGAGUGGACCCUGUGACGCCAGAGUCUGUCCCUUGGCCACCACUGUUGAAGGCCAAAAGGGUGAGGGUCGUGAUCAACUCAGUGCACCACUGGAGGCCAUAUGGGUAAACAGCAAACUGUUCUCAUGAAAGCAGGAUGUUGGCAAACUGACAAACUGCAUCUGCAGCCCAGAAGGAAUGCUGAGGGCAGUCACAACCCAGGCACAAGUGUUGCUUGGGAUUAGACGCAUCUGGAGCCUGUUAGCAAUAAUGUGAACCUGUGAUCAAUUAAGCAGCUGACCAGUCUCACCUCCUCCUCCCUGUUCUUUCUACCCAAUAAAUACAAAGGG